rnacentral:tRNA from 1 species
GCGGGUGUAGCUCAAUGGCAGAGCCCUAGCUUCCCAAGCUAGUUACGUGGGUUCGAUUCCCAUCACCCGCUCCA